UUAAGUUAUUAAGGGCGCACGGUGGAUGCCUUGGCACUAGAAGCCGAUGAAGGACGUUACUAACGACGAUAUGCUUUGGGGAGCUGUAAGUAAGCUUUGAUCCAGAGAUUUCCGAAUGGGGAAACCCAGCAUGAGUUAUGUCAUGUUAUCGAUAUGUGAAUACAUAGCAUAUCAGAAGGCACACCCGGAGAACUGAAACAUCUUAGUACCCGGAGGAAGAGAAAGAAAAUUCGAUUCCCUUAGUAGCGGCGAGCGAAACGGGAAGAGCCCAAACCAAAAAGCUUGCUUGUUGGGGUUGUAGGACACUCUAUACGGAGUUACAAAGGACGACAUUAGACGAAUCAUCUGGAAAGAUGAAUCAAAGAAGGUAAUAAUCCUGUAGUCGAAAAUGUUGUCUCUCUUGAGUGGAUCCUGAGUACGACGGAGCACGUGAAAUUCCGUCGGAAUCUGGGAGGACCAUCUCCUAAGGCUAAAUACUCUCUAGUGACCGAUAGUGAACCAGUACCGUGAGGGAAAGGUGAAAAGCACCCCGGAAGGAGAGUGAAAUAGAACCUGAAACCGUGUGCUUACAAGUAGUCAGAGCCCGUUAAUGGGUGAUGGCGUGCCUUUUGUAGAAUGAACCGGCGAGUUACGAUUUGAUGCAAGGUUAAGCAGUAAAUGUGGAGCCGUAGCGAAAGCGAGUCUGAAUAGGGCGUUUAGUAUUUGGUCGUAGACCCGAAACCAGGUGAUCUACCCUUGGUCAGGUUGAAGUUCAGGUAACACUGAAUGGAGGACCGAACCGACUUACGUUGAAAAGUGAGCGGAUGAACUGAGGGUAGCGGAGAAAUUCCAAUCGAACCUGGAGAUAGCUGGUUCUCUCCGAAAUAGCUUUAGGGCUAGCCUCAAGUGAUGAUUAUUGGAGGUAGAGCACUGUUUGGACGAGGGGCCCCUCUCGGGUUACCGAAUUCAGACAAACUCCGAAUGCCAAUUAAUUUAACUUGGGAGUCAGAACAUGGGUGAUAAGGUCCGUGUUCGAAAGGGAAACAGCCCAGACCACCAGCUAAGGUCCCAAAAUAUAUGUUAAGUGGAAAAGGAUGUGGCGUUGCCCAGACAACUAGGAUGUUGGCUUAGAAGCAGCCAUCAUUUAAAGAGUGCGUAAUAGCUCACUAGUCGAGUGACACUGCGCCGAAAAUGUACCGGGGCUAAACAUAUUACCGAAGCUGUGGAUUGUCCUUUGGACAAUGGUAGGAGAGCGUUCUAAGGGCGUUGAAGCAUGAUCGUAAGGACAUGUGGAGCGCUUAGAAGUGAGAAUGCCGGUGUGAGUAGCGAAAGACGGGUGAGAAUCCCGUCCACCGAUUGACUAAGGUUUCCAGAGGAAGGCUCGUCCGCUCUGGGUUAGUCGGGUCCUAAGCUGAGGCCGACAGGCGUAGGCGAUGGAUAACAGGUUGAUAUUCCUGUACCACCUAUAAUCGUUUUAAUCGAUGGGGGGACGCAGUAGGAUAGGCGAAGCGUGCGAUUGGAUUGCACGUCUAAGCAGUAAGGCUGAGUAUUAGGCAAAUCCGGUACUCGUUAAGGCUGAGCUGUGAUGGGGAGAAGACAUUGAGUCUUCGAGUCGUUGAUUUCACACUGCCGAGAAAAGCCUCUAGAUAGAAAAUAGGUGCCCGUACCGCAAACCGACACAGGUAGUCAAGAUGAGAAUUCUAAGGUGAGCGAGCGAACUCUCGUUAAGGAACUCGGCAAAAUGACCCCGUAACUUCGGGAGAAGGGGUGCUCUUUAGGGUUAACGCCCAGAAGAGCCGCAGUGAAUAGGCCCAAGCGACUGUUUAUCAAAAACACAGGUCUCUGCUAAACCGUAAGGUGAUGUAUAGGGGCUGACGCCUGCCCGGUGCUGGAAGGUUAAGAGGAGUGGUUAGCUUCUGCGAAGCUACGAAUCGAAGCCCCAGUAAACGGCGGCCGUAACUAUAACGGUCCUAAGGUAGCGAAAUUCCUUGUCGGGUAAGUUCCGACCCGCACGAAAGGCGUAACGAUUUGGGCACUGUCUCAACGAGAGACUCGGUGAAAUCAUAGUACCUGUGAAGAUGCAGGUUACCCGCGACAGGACGGAAAGACCCCGUGGAGCUUUACUGUAGC
rnacentral:rRNA from 1 species